rnacentral:sRNA from 1 species
GGUUUGGAUGCCGUCUUGUUUUCUUUACCACUUCCACUCCUACGGGAUACUAGUAGGGCUAGCUGCCUUGGCUCCAGUCCAGAGUAGCUGUCUCUCUAUCUCUGCCUGCUGCGACACAUGCGUCUACUGCUGCUGCUAUCUCUAGCAGUGAGUGGUUCAUAGCAAGCUGGCCAGUGGCACCACCACGAAUUGAGAACGAUCUGCCGUUCAGUUCUUUGGCAUAUUGCUACAGUAGUGGUGGGAUCAGGAUAUUUCACUGCACCACGCCUGGGAUCAGGAUAUGUGGUUUUAAAGAUCAUCAAAUCAUAUAUCAGUGAUAAAAGAAACGGUUCAGUCGAACUACAUAGGAUCUCAAUCCGUGGUGGUGGCGGCUGCUACUCUACCACGAUGCUCGUCGCGUCGAGUGUAGGAGUACUGUGAGAAAAUGUGACAGCGUUUGUAUCCUUUGUUUUAUUGCGAACUGUCUGCAUCCUCACGUUGUUCAAAGUGGCAGUGGAUGCAUUAUCCCGGUCUGUGGAUGACGAGCGACAAAGCAGCCGUUUCAGCAUUUACUGUACCACACUGUCAUUGCUGGCCCUUGUAAGCUUGUAGUAGCAGUACACGACGUCCUUCCGUUUUGACUGAUCUAGGAGUAGGCAAAUUGACUGCACAAUAUCGCUCCUCGAUUCGAUUGUGUUUUUUUUUUAACACUGAUGAAAAGGAUUCACAUUUCUGGCAUUUGCUCUAAGACGUAUAACCAAUAAAAAACUAAAAAAAUAAAAAAAAGUGAAGUUGUCAUAAAACUGAAGAAAAGACAUAAUAUGAUGGAACAAAGCUCAAUUCGAUUGUGCAUGUAGGAUGGAACAACAAGAACUAAACCAACCAAAGUGGGUGAAUGGUUGAUGUACCAAAAACAAAAUCUUUUAGCGGAAACAAAAGUUCCCAGCUAUUCUCUCCAUUUCAUAAUAUAUAAAGUAUUUGCCGGUGACCCAAUAUAUGCGCAGACCAAGAAAUAACAAAACCCUAAAGAAAAAAAUAGGAAGAAAAUGAUGGAUACCCCUUUACUCUUAUUAUCUUUAUCAGCUGCAGUUAAUAAUUGAAUUUUAAAACUAAUUUUAGAGUUGAUUUUAGAAUUAUUUCAUCACAUUAUAUUUUUAAACACUAGCUCUUUUAAGAAAAAAAUCGACUAUAAUGACACUUAUUACUCUUGUGCUCUGAUACCACUAGUUAUAAUAUAUAGCCUAGCCCACCAACUAUAAACCCACAAAGCCAAUCAAAACUACAACUCUAGAUGCUAAGCCUACAUUACCCAAAAGCCUCGUCUCAUCCCCCACCAUUUCAGCUGUGUUGCCUAACAUCAAUAUCUGAUGUACGAGUAAACCCAACAAUCUUCACUGUCAUAUAUCGUGUCCAAUAAUUUGCAAAGACUUAUUUCGUACACCUGACCUCAACCGUGCCUAACAACCUCCGAAAACUUAUUAGAGUAUCCAUGGUGUGGGAACUAAGGGGAGCACUAAGGGAAUCUUUCUACUAUAGCAAGGGUACUAUACAUUGCAAAAAACAAGUUUUAGGCUAUCAAAGAACAAGCCGGGUCUUCCCAUGAGGCCAGGCUAUUCAUAUAAACAAGCAUUACUCUUUUACCCAAGCCAUGAAGAGGACCAAUAGAAAUACAAAUUUUAUUAGAUG